rnacentral:lncRNA from 1 species
UUUUAUUUGUAAUUACUACUAGAAAUUUAUAAUCUUGCAUGGUUUGGAUAGUAUCAUUGUGGCCUUUUAAUACAUUUAUUUCUGUUUAUAAUUAAUAAUAGUGUUUAUUAUUGUCUUGAUGUUUCGAUUAAAAAUCGGUUAAUUAAUCGAAUAUAUUUUGCUAAAAUUUAUAAUAAAAAAAAAUAUUUUUAAGCUAUUUUUCCAUUUAUGAAACAAUUUUCAAAGUACACCGACGUGAUUGUUACAAGAAAGCUAUUGUAAAGCACAAAUACUUCAUUACAAAACUCCAUUACAUUUAUAUCAGUAAUAAAUUCCGCACGGGUCUAAGGUUACACCUGCAUUUAGACCUAUAAUGUAGAGAGAGAGUAAUCAAAACAUCGACAGUAGACAACUAAGUUUAUUUCUCACUCAGAGAUUGCGGGAGUUUCCUACUACUACUGCACUUAACCUAUUGCUAUUCUCAACCUAUCGUGUAUUUGUAGUCUUAGGCCUACUUAAAAUUUUUAAUUAGGAUUAAGUUCCCUGCCCGCUCCAUUUACUUAGAGCCAAAUGGUUUGCUAGUUCGUUACGACAUACCGUCUUUAAUGGGUGAUGGAAGCCGUUUGGAGACAGGCCAUUCGCAACGGACUGUGCAUUCGUCCGAAAAUUACAAAAGCUGGUAGAGUUGUUUCCCUAAUACUAACGUCAUUACGACGGCAUGCGUCUUUAAUGCUCUGGAACAACAAUGAAGACGAGUUUUCUCAUCAGACUCGUUCCUCUUUCUUAACUAUAAGAACGUGUCUCCUGGAGAGAUUAUUAAUAAUACCGCCCAAUACUCGUUGAUUUAUGGGUAACUGUAUAGAAUGCCAUCCUACUGUUACAGAAAACACACGGACGGUUUUAUAGGUGACAAUUACGUACGGGAGUCUGACUCUCGUAAAACCGAUUUUGUAAUUAAGGAUAAGAAUCGUUACAACAACAAGAAGAAGAUUUCCAACAGCUGUAGCUACUAUUAAGCUAAAAGUAUAAAUAUAGAACAUAACUAAAGUCAAUUUGAAUAUUUCUCUCUACUGUUUAUCUUAUAUUAUUUUUUUUUAUGCAGAAAACUUUCUAUAAGCUUAUUCGAAGAAUAGUAAAGACGUUAUAAAAUGCUCUUAUGCACUUUUAACAUGACUCACGCUUAGAUCUUAAUUAUUUCUAUGAAUAUUUUUGUAGUCUUAUAUCUUAUGC